CCAAAAUGUAAGCACAGUUAAAUUACCCAAAUAGGACAACGCCUUAUGCAUGACAGUGGGAGCAGUCAAGAACAUAAAUAGAGGAACGGAGGUCCGAGGUUUCACUGGGUUCGUCGGAAAUAACUUAAGUACAGAACUUGGAUUUCAGGUGCUUCUGCCAUGGGACUCUGAAUCUCCCGAGGAAGAGUAUGCUGUUGGUGGGGUUGUGCCUGAUGAAGAACAGGAAUGGGUGGUCCGCCAUAAAAUGCUCCUCUCUGAACAUACAAAAAGCCACCAUGCCUGCUGUAGCCGCUGCCG